AAGUAAAGGUGGUGACAUUUGCAACAACAAUGGACUCAGGCACAUGAAGGAUCAUGAAGAUGGCGCAGGAUGGGGCAACGUUUUAUUGUUUUACACAUAAGGUCACCAUAAGUCGGGGCCGACUCAGACGGCAACUAAUAAAAAUCUCCAUUUGCAGAUGAGGAAACUGGGGCACAAAAUGGUGUGUGUGGUAGAUGCAGAGCUGCACUGCCCAGAUCCUCUUUUAAAGGACUUUCUGCCUAGCUGCCUCCAGCUGUCAGCUCCUUCACGGUCAGCCUCAGCCUCAGCUAUUUGGCCGGAGGCUAUGCCAUUCCCAAAGCAGUCUAUAUCAAGUGACUGAGAGAAGCAAGACAUUAAGGCCCAGACAUCUCAGCCUGACAUGAGACAAUUCUGACAAGUAAUAUUCACAACAGAGCUCCCUGCCUGGUUGGCUGAGGCUUUGAGGAGACUGCCUCGGUUUGACUUCUCCCUUAGAAGAAACUGAGGCAUCCAAUGGCUUAGUAUCUUUCCUGAGGUCAUCAAGACGAAGGAGCAAGGUGCCAAUGCGGUGGUAGAUUUCAGAAGUAGACCUUGUGUUGAUACCUUAUCACACAGCUCGUCGUCAAGAGACAAAUAAAAUGCCCAGGUGA